rnacentral:rRNA from 1 species
UACGUAGGGGGCAAGCGUUGUCCGGAAUUAUUGGGCGUAAAGCGCGCGCAGGCGGUCCUUUAAGUCUGAUGUGAAAGCCCACGGCUCAACCGUGGAGGGUCAUUGGAAACUGGGGGACUUGAGUACAGAAGAGAAGAGUGGAAUUCCACGUGUAGCGGUGAAAUGCGUAGAGAUGUGGAGGAACACCAGUGGCGAAGGCGACUCUUUGGUCUGUAACUGACGCUGAGGCGCGAAAGCGUGGGGGGAGCAAACAGG